rnacentral:rRNA from 1 species
AUAAUGGGUCAGCGACUUAUAUUCUGUAGCAAGGUUAACCGAAUAGGGGAGCCGAAGGGAAACCGAGUCUUAACUGGGCGUUAAGUUGCAGGGUAUAGACCCGAAACCCGGUGAUCUAGCCAUGGGCAGGUUGAAGGUUGGGUAACACUAACUGGAGGACCGAACCGACUAAUGUUGAAAAAUUAGCGGAUGACUUGUGGCUGGGGGUGAAAGGCCAAUCAAACCGGGAGAUAGCUGGUUCUCCCCGAAAGCUAUUUAGGUAGCGCCUCGUGAAUUCAUCUCCGGGGGUAGAGCACUGUUUCGGCAAGGGGGUCAUCCCGACUUACCAACCCGAUGCAAACUGCGAAUACCGGAGAAUGUUAUCACGGGAGACACACGGCGGGUGCUAACGUCCGUCGUGAAGAGGGAAACAACCCAGACCGCCAGCUAAGGUCCCAAAGUCAUGGUUAAGUGGGAAACGAUGUGGGAAGGCCCAGACAGCCAGGAUGUUGGCUUAGAAGCAGCCAUCAUUUAAAGAAAGCGUAAUAGCUCACUGGUCGAGUCGGCCUGCGCGGAAGAUGUAACGGGGCUAAACCAUGCACCGAAGCUGCGGCAGCGACGCUGAUGCGUUGUUGGGUAGGGGAGCGUUCUGUAAGCCUGCGAAGGUGUGCUGUGAGGCAUGCUGGAGGUAUCAGAAGUGCGAAUGCUGACAUAAGUAACGAUAAAGCGGGUGAAAAGCCCGCUCGCCGGAA